GACGAACGCUGGCGGCGUGCUUAACACAUGCAAGUCGAACGCUGAAGCUUGGUGCUUGCACUGGGUGGAUGAGUGGCGAACGGGUGAGUAAUAAGUGAGUAACCUGCCCUUGACUCUGGGAUAAGCCUGGGAAACUGGGUCUAAUACUGGAUACGACAUGUCACCGCAUGGUGGUGUGUGGAAAGGGUUUUACUGGUUUUGGAUGGGCUCACGGCCUAUCAGCUUGUUGGUGGGGUAAUGGCUCACCAAGGCGACGACGGGUAGCCGGCCUGAGAGGGUGACCGGCCACACUGGGACUGAGACACGGCCCAGACUCCUACGGGAGGCAGCAGUGGGGAAUAUUGCACAAUGGGCGGAAGCCUGAUGCAGCGACGCCGCGUGAGGGAUGACGGCCUUCGGGUUGUAAACCUCUUUCAGCAAGGAAGAAGCGAAAGUGACGGUACGUGCAGAAGAAGCGCCGGCUAACUACGUG
rnacentral:rRNA from 1 species